rnacentral:rRNA from 1 species
UUGAGAGUUUGAUCCUGGCUCAGAACGAACGCUGGCGGCAGGCCUAACACAUGCAAGUCGAGCGCACCUUCGGGUGAGCGGCGGACGGGUUAGUAACGCGUGGGAACAUACCCCUUUCUACGGAAUAGCCUCGGGAAACUGAGAGUAAUACCGUAUAAGCCCUUCGGGGGAAAGAUUUAUCGGGAAGGGAUUGGCCCGCGUUAGAUUAGAUAGUUGGUGGGGUAAUGGCCUACCAAGUCUACGAUCUAUAGCUGGUUUUAGAGGAUGAUCAGCAACACUGGGACUGAGACACGGCCCAGACUCCUACGGGAGGCAGCAGUGGGGAAUCUUAGACAAUGGGCGCAAGCCUGAUCUAGCCAUGCCGCGUGUGUGAUGAAGGUCUUAGGAUCGUAAAGCACUUUCGCCAGGGAUGAUAAUGACAGUACCUGGUAAAGAAACCCCGGCUAACUCCGUGCCAGCAGCCGCGGUAAUACGGAGGGGGUUAGCGUUGUUCGGAAUUACUGGGCGUAAAGC